rnacentral:rRNA from 1 species
UACGUAGGGGGCAAGCGUUGUCCGGAAUCAUUGGGCGUAAAGCGCGUGUAGGCGGCUCGAUAAGUCCGCUCUGAAAGUCCAGGGCUCAACCCUGGGAUGCGGGUGGAUACUGUCGGGCUCGAGUCCGGAAGAGGCGAGUGGGAAUUCCCGGUGUAGCGGUGAAAUGCGUAGAUAUCAGGAGGAACACCUGUGGCGAAAGCGGCUCACUGGACCAUAACUGACGCUGAUGCACGAAAGCUAGGGGAGCAAACAGG